UACGGAGGAUGCAAGCGUUAUCCGGAUUUAUUGGGUUUAAAGGGUGCGCAGGUUGUUUGAUAAGUCAGUGGUGAAAGUCUGUCGCUUAACGGUAGGAUUGCCAUUGAUACUGUUGGACUUGAAUAUGGAUGAGGUAGGCGGAAUGUGUAGUGUAGCGGUGAAAUGCAUAGAUAUUACACAGAACACCGAUUGCGAAGGCAGCUUACUAAUCCAUCAUUGACGCUGAUGCACGAAAGCGUGGGGAUCGAACA
rnacentral:rRNA from 1 species